AGGACGAACGCUGGCGGCGUGCUUAACACAUGCAAGUCGAGCGGAAAGGCCCUUCGGGGUACUCGAGCGGCGAACGGGUGAGUAACACGUGAGUAAUCUGCCCCUAGCUCUGGGAUAGCUCCGGGAAACCGGGAUUAAUACCGGAUACGACCACCUUAGACAUCUUUUGUGGUGGAAAGAAUUUCGGCUAGGGAUGAGCUCGCGGCCUAUCAGCUUGUUGGUGGGGUAACGCCUACCAAGGCGACGACGGGUAGCCGGCCUGAGAGGGCGACCGGCCACACUGGGACUGAGACACGGCCCAGACUCCUACGGGAGGCAGCAGUGGGGAAUAUUGCGCAAUGGGCGAAAGCCUGACGCAGCGACGCCGCGUGGGGGAUGAAGGCCUUCGGGUUGUAAACCGCUUCACCAGGGACGAAGCGGAAGUGACGGUACCUGGGGAAGAAGCGCCGGCUAACUACGCGCCAGCAGCCGC
rnacentral:rRNA from 1 species